rnacentral:rRNA from 1 species
UACAGAGGUCUCAAGCGUUGUUCGGAUUCAUUGGGCGUAAAGGGUGCGUAGGCGGCGCGGUAAGUCGGGUGUGAAAUCUCGGAGCUUAACUCCGAAACUGCAUUCGAUACUGCCGUGCUUGAGGACUGGAGAGGAGACUGGAAUUUACGGUGUAGCGGUGAAAUGCGUAGAUAUCGUAAGGAAGACCAGUGGCGAAGGCGGGACUCUGGACAGUUCCUGACGCUGAGGCACGAAGGUCAGGGGAGCAAACGGG